rnacentral:misc_RNA from 1 species
AGAAAAUCAAUUCUCCUCAAAUUUCAUCAAUUCAUCAAAAUGCAAAUGGAAACCAAUUUUUUGAUUCCAUUUUUCACAAUUUUCAUCCAAUUGAUGUCUACUCAUGUGAAACCCCAGCUGAUCGAGUCGCAAUUGAAUUUUCCUAGCUGUCCGGCGACUGAUCCGGCACUUAAUUACCGGCCGGUCAUCGGAAUUGUGAGUCAUCCCGGCGACGGAGCUUCCGGUCGUCUCAACAACGCCAGUGAUGUCUCAUACAUAGCUGCUUCUUAUGUCAAGUUUGCUGAAAUGGCUGGUGCUAGAGUCAUUCCCCUUAUAUACACUGAGCCUCCCCAAGUUCUCAAUCAAAAGCUUAAUCUAGUAAAUGGCAUUAUCUUCACUGGAGGUUGGGCCAAAGAUGGUCUAUAUUUUGAUGUUAUUAAAGGAAUUUUCCAGAAAGUUUUGGAGAAGAACGAUGCUGGUGAACACUUUCCUUUACUUGCAAUCUGCUUGGGGUAUGAACUUUUAACGAUGAUCAUCACCAAUGACAACAAUAUUCUUGAGGAAUUCAGUGCAGCGAGCCAAGCAUCUACAGUACAGUUUGUGGAAAAUGUAAAUAUUGAAGGAACAAUAUUCGGAAGAUUUCCCCCCGUGUUGCUAAAGAAGAUGAGUAUAGAUUGCCUUGUGAUGCAAAAUCAUCAUUUUGGUAUAUCACCAGAAAGAUUUCAAGUGAAUAAAGAUUUGAGUAGCUUUUUCAGGGUAUUGACUACUAGUACAGAUGAAAACAACAAGGUCUAUGUCUCUACUAUUCAAGCACAACGCUAUCCUAUAGCUGCUUUCCAAUGGCAUCCAGAGA